UAGGGAAUCUUCGGCAAUGGACGGAAGUCUGACCGAGCAACGCCGCGUGAGUGAAGAAGGUUUUCGGAUCGUAAAGCUCUGUUGUAAGAGAAGAACGAGUGUGAGAGUGGAAAGUUCACACUGUGACGGUAUCUUACCAGAAAGGGACGGCUAACUACGUGCCAGCAGCCGCGGUAAUACGUAGGUCCCGAGCGUUGUCCGGAUUUAUUGGGCGUAAAGCGAGCGCAGGCGGUUAGAUAAGUCUGAAGUUAAAGGCUGUGGCUUAACCAUAGUAGGCUUUGGAAACUGUUUAACUUGAGUGCAAGAGGGGAGAGUGGAAUUCCAUGUGUAGCGGUGAAACGCGUAGAUAUAUGGAGGAACACCGGUGGCGAAAGCGGCUCUCUGGCUUGUAACUGACGCUGAGGCUCGAAAGCGUGGGGAGCAAACAGGAUUAGAUACCCUGGUAGUCCACGCUGUAAACGAUGAGUGCUAGGUGUUAGACCCUUUCCGGGGUUUAGUGCCGUAGCUAACGCAUUAAGCACUCCGCCUGGGGAGUACGACCGCAAGGUUG
rnacentral:rRNA from 1 species